rnacentral:rRNA from 1 species
UACGAAGGGGGCUAGCGUUGCUCGGAAUCACUGGGCGUAAAGGGUGCGUAGGCGGGUCUUUAAGUCAGGGGUGAAAUCCUGGAGCUCAACUCCAGAACUGCCUUUGAUACUGAGGAUCUUGAGUUCGGGAGAGGUGAGUGGAACUGCGAGUGUAGAGGUGAAAUUCGUAGAUAUUCGCAAGAACACCAGUGGCGAAGGCAGCUUGCUGGGACGGUACUGACGCUGAGGCGCGAAAGCGUGGGAGCAAACAGGG